UAAAAACCUGAUUUAAAAAAAUGCUUCUCUUACCCAUUUUUAGAGUGCAUGUUUGCUAGGCGAGUUAGGAGGUAGUAGAGUCCUCCUUAAAUAACUAGGCUUUUCUUUGUGUUUUAUACGCUUGCCUUGAUAGUGCCAAGAAUGGAGGUAGAUCCAGAAGGUCUUCCCCUGAGCUGCCUGCCUGUCUUGGUCAUAUAACACCAAGUUGCUUGGGGGUGGGGUGGAGCAGAGAGAACUCUUUAAUGGUUCCUUGUCACAGCCCUCAACAAAGAUAUGUCAAUUCCCUUGGCUUUACAGACUAUUGCCCAGAAGAAAAGAUGUUUGGUUUUCACAAGCCAAAGAUGUACCGAAGUAUAGAGGGCUGCUGUAUUUGCAGAGCUAAGUCCUCCAGUUCUCGAUUCACUGACAGUAAACGCUAUGAAAAGGACUUCCAGAGCUGUUUUGGAUUGCAUGAGACUCGUUCAGGAGACAUCUGCAAUGCCUGUGUCCUGCUUGUGAAAAGAUGGAAGAAGUUGCCAGCAGGAUCAAAAAAAAACUGGAAUCAUGUGGUAGAUGCAAGGGCUGGACCCAGUCUAAAGACUACAUUGAAACCAAAGAAAGUGAAAACUCUAUCUGGGAACAGGAUAAAAAGCAACCAGAUCAGUAAACUGCAGAAGGAAUUUAAACGUCAUAAUUCUGAUGCUCACAGUACCACCUCAAGUGCCUCCCCAGCUCAAUCUCCUUGUUACAGUAACCAGUCAGAUGACGGCUCAGAUACAGAGAUGGCUUCUGGUUCUAACAGAACACCAGUUUUUUCCUUUUUAGAUCUCACAUACUGGAAAAGACAGAAGAUAUGUUGUGGGAUCAUCUAUAAAGGCCGUUUUGGGGAAGUCCUCAUUGACACACAUCUCUUCAAGCCUUGCUGCAGCAAUAAGAAAGCAGCUGCCGAGAAGCCAGAGGAGCAGGGGCCAGAGCCUCUGCCCAUCUCCACUCAGGAGUGGUGACUGAGGUUUUUAUUUAGAAGGGGAACAAAAAAAAAAUCUGAAUUUUGAAAAGACCACAAAGCAACAAACUGACCCUCUUUUUUUUUUUUUUUUGAGACGGAGUUCUGCUCUUGUUACCCAGGCUGGAGUGCAGUGGCGUGAUCUUGGCUCACUGCAACUUCCGUCUCCCGGGUUCAAGUGAUUCUCCUGCCUCAGCCUCCUAAGUAGCUGGGUUUAUAGGUGCCCGCCACCAGACCCAGCUAAUUUUUUAGUUUUAGUAGAGACGAGGUUUCACCAUGUUGGCCAGGCUGGUCUCAAAUGACCCUCUUAUUUUUAACUUGGAUACCUGCUAUUCUGCCAAAAGACAAUUUCUAGAGUAGUUUUGAAUGGGUUGAUUUCCCCCAGUCCCACAAACUCUGAAGCCAGUGUCUAGCUUACUAAAAAAAGAGUUGUACAUAAUAUUUAAGAUGCUGAGUAUUUCAUAGGAAAGCUGAAUGCUGCUGUAAAGUGCUCUUUAAGUCUUUUUUUUUUUUUAAUCCCCUUCUAAUGAAUGAAACUAGGGGAAUUUCAGGGGACAGAGAUGGGAUUUGUUGUAUGAUAAACUGUAUGUAGUUUUUAGUCUUUCUGUAUUGAGAAGCAGUGGUUGGGGCAUUUUUAAGAUGGCUGGCUACUCUUGUUUUCCCUCAUGAUAAUAAAUUUGUCAUAACUCAGUAACAUGAACUUGCCCCUAGAGGUAGUUGUUAAUAAUUUUGAAAUAUUAAGGUCUUGCCAAGCUUCUGAUGAUUCAAACCUGUACUACUGAUUAUUAAGCAGGACAGACUGAGCUUUCUGUUGCAAAUACCUUGGAGGAGAAAGUAAUUUCUAAAUAUACAGAGAGGUAACUUGACUAUAUAUGUUGCAUCCAGUGUCUCCCUUCAUAUUAAUAUUUGAUAAAGAUUUUAAUUUAUGUAAAACUUCUAAAGCAGAAUCAGAGCUCCUCUUGGGGAAAUGGUAAGUCUUUAGGACAGGCGAGACCCUGUGUGAAUAGUACCAAAGCAUUACCACAUGGUGGAGAACACACUCGAUUAAAAAUGUUAAGCUAUCUGAAAAAUAAAAUGUGCAAGUCUUCAGGAUGGCACAAAACAAAGGUUAAUGCUUCUUGGGGCACAUUUCUUAGAGGGCUUGCUGAGUGUGUAAAUAUAAUCGACUUUUGUUUGUGUUACAUGACUUCUGUGACUUCAUUGAAAAUCUGCGCAAUUCAGUUUCAGCUCUGGAUUACUUCAGUUGACCUUUGUGAAGGUUUUUUAUCUGUGUAGAAUGGGUGUUUGACUUGUUUUAGCCUAUUAAGUUUUUAUUUUCUUUCACUCUGUAUUAAAAGUAAAACUUACUAAAAGAAAAGAGGUUUGUGUUCACAUUAAAUGGUUUUGGUUUGGCUUCUUUUAGUCAGGCUUUCUGAACAUUGAGAUAUCCUGAACUUAGAGCUCUUCAAUCCUAAGAUUUUCAUGAAAAGCCUCUCACUUGAACCCAAACCGGAGUACUCUUACUGCCUCUUUUCUAAAUGUUCAGGAAAAGCAUCGCCAGUUCAGUCUUUUCAGAAUGAGGGAGAAACAUUUGCCUGCCUUAUAAUAACAAGACUCAGUGCUUAUUUUUUAAACUGCAUUUUAAAAAUUGGAUAGUAUAAUAACAAUAAGUAGUAAGCCACCUUUUAUAGGCACCCUGUAGUUUUAUAGUUCUUAAUCUAAACAUCUUAUAUUUCCUUCUUUUGGAAAAAACCUACAUGCUACAAGCCACCAUAUCACCAUAUGCACAGACUAUACAGUGAGUUGAGUUGGCUCUCCCACAGUCUUUGAGGCGAAUUACAAAAGUCCAGCCAUUAUCAUCCUCCUGAGUUAUUUUGAAAUGAUUUUUUUUGUACAUUUUGGCUGCAGUAUUGGUGGUAGAAUAUACUAUAAUAUGGAUCAUCUCUACUUCUGUAUUUAUUUAUUUAUUACUAGACCUCAACCACAGUCUUCUUUUUCCCCUUCCACCUCUCUUUGCCUGUAGGAUGUACUGUAUGUAGUCAUGCACUUUGUAUUAAUAUAUUAGAAAUCUACGGAUCUGUUUUGUACUUUUUAUACUGUUGGAUACUUAUAAUCAAAACUUUUACUAGGGUAUUGAAUAAAUCUAGUCUUAUUAGAAAAUAAAA
rnacentral:sRNA from 1 species